GCACAACGCGAAGAACCUUACCAGGCCUUGACAUCCAAUGAACUUUCUAGAGAUAGAUUGGUGCCUUCGGGGACAUUGGUGACAGGUGGUGCAUGGUUGUCGUCAGCUCGUGUCGUGAGAUGUUGGGUUAAGUCCCGCAACGAGCGCAACCCUUAUUCUUAGUUGCCAUCAUUUAGUUGGGCACUCUAAGGAGACUGCCGGUGACAAACCGGAGGAAGGUGGGGAUGACGUCAAAUCAUCAUGCCCCUUAUGACCUGGGCUACACACGUGCUACAAUGGACGGUACAAAGAGCUGCGAGCCCGCGAGGGUAAGCCAAUCUCAUAAAACCGUUCUCAGUUCGGAUUGUAGUCUGCAACUCGACUACAUGAAGCCGGAAUCGCUAGUAAUCGCGGAUCAGCAUGCCGCGGUGAAUACGUUCCCGGGUCUUGUACACACCG
rnacentral:rRNA from 1 species